rnacentral:rRNA from 1 species
CGCCUCCUAAAAGAUAACGGAGGCGCUCAAAGGUUUGCUCAGAAUGGUUGGAAAUCAUUCGUAGCGUGUAAAGGCAUAAGCAAGCUUGACUGUGAGACUGACAAGUCGAGCAGGUACGAAAGUAGGACUUAGUGAUCCGGUGGUUCCGUAUGGAAGGGCCAUCGCUCAACGGACAAAAGCUACCCCGGGGAUAACAGGCUCAUCUCCCCCAAGAGUCCACAUCGACGGGGAGGUUUGGCACCUCGAUGUCGGCUCAUCGCAUCCUGGG